rnacentral:rRNA from 1 species
GACGAACGCUGGCGGCGCGCCUAACACAUGCAAGUCGAACGGAACCCUGCGGAGCUUGCUCUGCAGAAGUUCAGUGGCGGACGGGUGAGUAACACGUGAGCAACCUGCCCUGAAGUGGGGGAUAACGCCUGGAAACGGACGCUAAUACCGCAUAACAUCCCGGGAUGGCAUCGUUCUGGGAUCAAAGGAGUAAUCCGCUUUGGGAUGGGCUCGCGCCCGAUUAGGUAGUUGGUGAGGUAAUGGCUCACCAAGCCGACGAUCGGUAGCCGGACUGAGAGGUUGAUCGGCCACAUUGGGACUGAGACACGGCCCAAACUCCUACGGGAGGCAGCAGUGGGGAAUAUUGCACAAUGGGGGAAACCCUGAUGCAGCGACGCCGCGUGAAGGAAGAAGUAUUUCGGUAUGUAAACUUCUAUCAGCAGGGAAGAAAAUGACGGUACCUGACUAAGAAGCCCCGGCUAAUUACGUGCCAGCCGCCGCGGUAAGAC